GACGAACGCUGGCGGCGUGCUUAACACAUGCCAGUCGAACGGAAAGGCCCUGCUUUUGUGGGGUGCUCGAGUGGCGAACGGGUGAGUAACACGUGAGUAACCUGCCCUUGACUUUGGGAUAACUUCAGGAAACUGGGGCUAAUACCGGAUAGGAGCUCCUGCUGCAUGGUGGGGGUUGGAAAGUUUCGGCGGUUGGGGAUGGACUCGCGGCUUAUCAGCUUGUUGGUGGGGUAGUGGCUUACCAAGGCUUUGACGGGUAGCCGGCCUGAGAGGGUGACCGGUCACAUUGGGACUGAGAUACGGCCCAGACUCCUACGGGAGGCAGCAGUGGGGAAUAUUGCACAAUGGGCGGAAGCCUGAUGCAGCAACGCCGCGUGCGGGAUGACGGCCUUCGGGUUGUAAACCGCUUUCGCCUGUGACGAAGCGUGAGUGACGGUAAUGGGUAAAGAAGCACCGGCUAACUACGUG
rnacentral:rRNA from 1 species